GAUGAACGCUGGCGGCGUGCCUAAUACAUGCAAGUCGAGCGAACGGACGAGAAGCUUGCUUCUCUGAUGUUAGCGGCGGACGGGUGAGUAACACGUGGAUAACCUACCUAUAAGACUGGGAUAACUUCGGGAAACCGGAGCUAAUACCGGAUAAUAUUUUAAACCGCAUGAUUCAAAAGUGAAAGACGGUCUUGCUGUCACUUAUAGAUGAAUCCGCGCUGCAUUAGCUAGUUGGUAAGGUAACGGCUUACCAAGGCAACGAUGCAUAGCCGACCUGAGAGGGUGAUCGGCCACACUGGAACUGAGACACGGUCCAGACUCCUACGGGAGGCAGCAGUAGGGAAUCUUCCGCAAUGGGCGAAAGCCUGACGGAGCAACGCCGCGUGAGUGAUGAAGGUCUUCGGAUCGUAAAACUCUGUUAUUAGGGAAGAACAUAUGUGUAAGUAACUGUGCACAUCUUGACGGUACCUAAUCAGAAAGCCACGGCUAACUACGUG
rnacentral:rRNA from 1 species